ensembl:lncRNA
GCACUCACCACUGAGUUACAUUCCCGGCCCUUUUGGAGUGAAGGUCUCACGAAGUUGCCAGGCUGGCCUUGAACUUAUGAUUCUCCUGCCUCAGCCUCCCAAGUAGCUGGGAUCAUAGAACCAGAGCUGCCUAGAGCUUCAAGGCCCACAGGUGCCAGCACUGCCGGGACCCGGAUGCCCUUCCUGCACCCUGACCACUCCAGACCAUCCACAUGGCCCUCCUUGGGGGCCAGGGGCUGCAGCAUCUGCCAGGGGCCACCAGGUUCAACUCUGGAGUGGGAGAAAGGGCUCAUACGUGGGAUAGGGUGAGGGGCAGCAGGGUCCCUCAGAGGUCCUUGGCAUGCCUGUGGAGCCCUUGUGUCGGGAGGCCCUGGACCCACGGCCCUGCCAGCCCCCACCUGGUCCCCACUCAGUACCCAGGGCCUAAGGGUCUCUGGCUCCCUGUACUGUCCUGGCUCAUGGCCACCCUCAAAGACUCCUGUCCGUGAGCUGGCAGGAGCCACACCUGCACACCUGCACCCUGCACACACUUCGACCCAGGCACACGCAGCAGCUUUCAGACCCCUUCCCCUUCCUUUACCUCCCCUGUGUUUCCCUGGGCUCCCCCGGGCCCCAGCCCCUCAUACCGUAUAGGAAGACAAGGCCCUGAGCUCCCAGCCAGCUCUGGUGGCCCAGCGCCCACUCUGCCUCCCCCCUGUGGCAGGGCUUACCUCCCUCCACAGGGCUCUCCUCAGGGGCUCUGGGAAUGCGGCAGGCCCACUGUUGCGUGGCUGUGGGGAUUCAGGUUUAUACCCAUGGCUGCUCUGCCUGUUUACAUCUUGAGGCUGCAGCUGUCCCCACUCCUCCUGGGCACUCCAGCCUGGCACCUGCUGCCCCAAGGGACUCACUGGCGCUUGGCACGUUCACCUUGGGCCAGACAGACUGACCAUCGGCAGCAGCGCCUGGCCUUGCCAAGCUCUGGGUGGGAGCAGGGAGGAACAGACAGAUGGGGAGUGGGUGAGCAACAGAGGGUGCUGGACCCAGGGCCUUGGCCAAGGUCACAGGGC